CACGCGGUUUCCUCUGUGUGUCUGGGGCCUGCCGGCUCCAUCCACUAUGAUACACGAGGAUCUCGGAAGGGAGCCAUUUUUAAAACGUCCGGCCGCAAGCCGGGAGAUUUAUGACAGGCCCCGGUAGCCUCGAUAAUAACAACGACGAUUCCAUCCGAGGAAUCGUGUACACUGCAAAUAAUGGAGACGAUUAGCGAACGUUUUGUGAGACAUCGCUGCGUUCAGAUAUCGCCGAAGCGUACAGAAACUGAGAGUUUCGAGUAUCGAAAGUGCAUACGUACAGGAAAAUUG
rnacentral:misc_RNA from 1 species